GAUGAACGCUGGCGGCGUGCCUAAUACAUGCAAGUCGAGCGAACAGAUGAGGAGCUUGCUCCUCUGACGUUAGCGGCGGACGGGUGAGUAACACGUGGAUAACCUACCUAUAAGACUGGGAUAACUUCGGGAAACCGGAGCUAAUCCCGGAUAAUCUAUUGAACCGCAUGGUUCAAUAGUGAAAGACGGUUUUGCUGUCACUUAUAGAUGGAUCCGCGCCGCAUUAGCUAGUUGGUAAGGUAACGGCUUACCAAGGCAACGAUGCGUAGCCGACCUGAGAGGGUGAUCGGCCACACUGGAACUGAGACACGGUCCAGACUCCUACGGGAGGCAGCAGUAGGGAAUCUUCCGCAAUGGGCGAAAGCCUGACGGAGCAACGCCGCGUGAGUGAUGAAGGUCUUCGGAUCGUAAAACUCUGUUAUUAGGGAAGAACAAAUGUGUAAGUAACUAUGCACGUCUUGACGGUACCUAAUCAGAAAGCCACGGCUAACUACGUG
rnacentral:rRNA from 1 species